AAAUUGAAGAGUUUGAUCAUGGCUCAGAUUGAACGCUGGCGGCAGGCCUAACACAUGCAAGUCGAACGGUAACAGGAAGCAGCUUGCUGCUUUGCUGACGAGUGGCGGACGGGUGAGUAAUGUCUGGGAAACUGCCUGAUGGAGGGGGAUAACUACUGGAAACGGUAGCUAAUACCGCAUAACGUCGCAAGACCAAAGAGGGGGACCUUCGGGCCUCUUGCCAUCGGAUGUGCCCAGAUGGGAUUAGCUUGUUGGUGGGGUAACGGCUCACCAAGGCGACGAUCCCUAGCUGGUCUGAGAGGAUGACCAGCCACACUGGAACUGAGACACGGUCCAGACUCCUACGGGAGGCAGCAGUGGGGAAUAUUGCACAAUGGGCGCAAGCCUGAUGCAGCCAUGCCGCGUGUAUGAAGAAGGCCUUCGGGUUGUAAAGUACUUUCAGCGGGGAGGAAGGGAGUAAAGUUAAUACCUUUACUCAUUGACGUUACCCGCAGAAGAAGCACCGGCUAACUCCGUGCCAGCAGCCGCGGUAAUACGGAGGGUGCAAGCGUUAAUCGGAAUUACUGGGCGUAAAGCGCACGCAGGCGGUUUGUUAAGUCAGAUGUGAAAUCCCCGGGCUCAACCUGGGAACUGCAUCUGAUACUGGCAAGCUUGAGUCUCGUAGAGGGGGGUAGAAUUCCAGGUGUAGCGGUGAAAUGCGUAGAGAUCUGGAGGAAUACCGGUGGCGAAGGCG
rnacentral:rRNA from 1 species